rnacentral:tRNA from 1 species
GGGGCUGUAGCUCAGCUGGGAGAGCGCUUGACUGGCAGUCAAGAGGUCAGGGGUUCGAUCCCCCUCAGCUCCACCA